AGGAUUAAGGUUUUGGGGGUUAGGGUUAAAAUCACUGUCCAAGACCUUUUUGUUACAUGUUUCAGACCUUUUGGAGUUAAUUAGAGCAAAAAAAACGAAAAAUGAAAAAAAAAAAUGUUUUGGGUGUUAGGGCUUCCUAUAGGUAAUACCCGGGUAUUGGGUUUAGCAGCUAGAGUAAGGUUUAAGGUUUUUGGGGUUAGGGUUAAAAUCACUGUCCAAGACCUUUUUAGGAACAUCUUUCAAACCUUUUGGAGUUAAUUAGACCAAAAAAAAAUGAAAAAUGAAAAAAAAAAUGUUUGUCAUGUUAGGGCUUCCUUAAGGCAAUACCCGGUUAUUGGGUUACGGGGGUAAGGAUUAAGGUUUUUGGGGUUAGGGUUAAAAUAACUGUCCCAGACCUUUUUGUUACAAGUUUCAGACCUUUUGGAGAUAGUUAGUCAAAAAAAAAAAAAAAACAUGAAAAAAAAAAUGUUUGGGGUUUUAGGGCUUCUUUUAGAUAAUACACAGGUAUGAAGUUAAGGGGCUAGGGUAAGGUUUAAGGUUUUUGGGGUGAGGGUUAAAAUCACUGUCCAAGACAUUUUUAGGAACAUGUUUCAAACCUUUUGGAGUUAAUUAGACCAAAAAAAAUGAAAAAAGAAAAAAAAAUGUUUGGGGUGGCGGGGUUUCCUAUAGGCACUACCUGGGUAUUGGGAUACAGGGCUAGGGUAAGGAUUAAGGUUUUUGGGGUUAGGGUUAAAAUUACUCUCCCAGACCUUUUUGUUACAUGUUUCAGACCUUUUGCAGUCAGUUAGUCCAAAAAAAAAAAAAAAAGAAAAAAGAAAAGUUUGGGGAGUUAGGGCUUCCUAUUAAUAAUACCCGGGGUAUUGGGUUAUGGGGCUAGGGUCAGGUUUAAGGUUUUUGGGGUUAGGGUUAAAAUCACUGUCCAAGACCUUUUAAGGAACAUUUUUCAAACCUUUUGGAGUUAAUUAGACAAAAAAAAAACGAAAAAUGAAAAAAAAAUGUUUUGGGUGUUAGGGCUUCCUAUAGGUACUACCCGGGUAUUGGGUUUAGCAGCUAGAGUAAGGUUUAAGGUUUUUGGGGUUAGGGUUAAAAUCACUGUCCCAGACCUUUUUGUUACAAGUUUCAGACCUUUUGGAGAAAGUUUGUCCAAAAAAAAAAAAAAAACAUGAAAAAAAAAAUGUUUGGGGUUUUAGGGCUUCUUUUAGAUAAUACACGGGUAUGAAGUUAAGGGGCUAGGGUAAGGUUUAAGGUUUUUGGGGUGAGGGUUAAAAUCACUGUCCAAGACAUUUUUAGGAACAUCUUUCAAACCUUUUGGAGUUAGUUAGUCAAAAAAAAAUGUUUGGGGUGUUAGGGCUUCUUUUAGAUAAUACCCGGGAAUUAAGUUACAGGGCGAGGGUAAGGUUAAAGGUUUUUGGGGUUAGGGUCAAAAUCACUUUCCAAGAUCUUUUUAGGAACAUGUUUCAAACCUUUUGGAGUUAAUUAGACCAAAAAAAAAACGAAAAAUGAAAGAAAAAAUGUUUGGGGUGAUAGGGCUUCCUAUAGGUAAUACCCGGGUAUUAAGUUACGGGGCUAGGGUAAGGUUUAAGGUUUUUGGGGUUAGGGUUAAAAUCACUGUCCAAGACCAUUUUAGGAACAUGUUGCAAACCUUUUGGAGUUAAUUAGACAAAAAAAAACAAAAAAUGAAAAAAAAAAUGUUUUGGGUGUUAGGGCUUCCUUUAGGUAUUGGGAUACAGGGCUAGGGUAAGGAUUAAGGUUUUUGGGGUAAGGGUUAAAAUCACUGUCCAAGACCUGUUUGUUACAUGUUUCAGACCUUUUGGAGUUAGUUAGUCCAAAAAAAAAAAGAAAAGAAAAAAGAAAAGUUUGGGGUGUUAGGGCUUCCUAUUAAUAAUACCCGGGUAUUGGCUUUUGGGGCUAGGGUUAGGUUUAAGGUUUCUGGGGUUAGGGUUAAAAUCACUGUCCAAGACCUUUUUAGGAACAUCUUUCAAACCUUUUGGAGUUAAUUAGACCAAAAAAAAAAGAAAAAUGAAAAAAAAAAUGUUUGUCAUGUUAGGACUUCCUUAAGGCAAUACCCGGUUAUUGGGUUACGGGGGUAAGGAUUAAGGUUUUUGGGGUUAGGGUUAAAAUAACUGUCCCAGACCUUUUUGUUACAAGUUUCAGACCUUUUGGAGAAAGUUUGUCCAAAAAAAAAAAAAAAAAACAUGAAAAAAAAAAUGUUUGGGGUUUUAGGGCUUCUUUUAGAUAAUACACGGGUAUGAAGUUACGGGGCUAGGGUAAGGUUUAAGGUUUUUGGGGUGAGGGUUAAAAUCACUGUCCAAGACAUUUUUAGGAACAAACCUUUUGGAGUUAAUUAGUCCAAAAAAAUGAACAAAGAAAAAAAAAAUGUUUGGGAUGUUAGGGCUUCCUAUAGGUAAUACCCGGGUAUUGGGAUACAAGGCUAGGGUAAGGAUUAAGGUUUUGGGGGUUAAAAUCACUGUCCAAGACAUUUUUAGGAACAAACCUUUUGGAGUUAAUUAGACCAAAAAAAUGAAAAAUGAAAAAAAAAAUGUUUGUCAUGUUAGGGCUUCCUUAAGGCAAUACCCGGUUAUUGGGUUACGGGGGUAAGGAUUAAGGUUUUUGGGGUUAGGGUUAAAAUAACUGUCCCAGACCUUUUUGUUACAAGUUUCAGACCUUUUGGAGAUAGUUAGUCAAAAAAAAAAAAAAAAACAUGAAAAAAAAAAUGUUUGGGGUUUUAGGGCUUCUUUUAGAUAAUACACGGGUAUGAAGGGUAAGGUUUAAGGUUUUUGGGGUGAGGGUUAAAAUCACUGUCCAAGACCUUUUUAGGAACAUCUUUCAAACCUUUUGGAGUUAGUUAGUCAAAAAAAAAAAAAAAGAAAAAAAAAUGUUUGGGGUGUUAGGGCUUCUUUUAGAUAAUACCCGGGUAUUAAGUUACAGGGCUAGGGUAAGGUUAAAGGUUUUUGGGGUUAGGGUUAAAAUCACUUUCCAAGAUCUUUUUAGGAACAUGUUUCAAACCUUUGGAGUUAAUUAGACAAAAAAAAAAAACGAAAAAUGAAAGAAAAAAUGUUUGGGGUGAUAGGGCUUCCUAUAGGUAAUACCCGGGUAUUAAGUUACGGGGCUAGGGUAAGGUUUAAGGUUUUUGGGGUUAGGGUUAAAAUCACUGUCCAAGACCAUUUUAGGAACAUGUUUCAAACCUUUGGAGUUAAUUAGACAAAAAAAAAACGAAAAAUGAAAGAAAAAAUGUUUUGGGUGUUAGGGCUUCCUUUAGGUAUUGGGAUACAGGGCUAGGGUAAGGAUUAAGGUUUUUUGGGGUAAGGGUUAAAAUCACUGUCCAAGACCUGUUUGUUACAUGUUUCAGACCUUUUGGAGUUAGUUAGUCCAAAAAAAAAAAAAAAAAGAAAAAAGAAAAGUUUGGGGUGUUAGGGCUUCCUAUUAAUAAUACCCGGGUAUUGGCUUUCGGGGCAAGGGUAAGGAUUAAGGUUUUUGGGGUUAGGGUUAAAUUAACUGUCCCAGACCUUUUUGUUACAAGUUUCAGACCUUUUGGAGAAAGUUUGUCCAAAAAAAAAAAAAAAAAACAUGAAAAAAAAAAUGUUUGGGGUUUUAGGGCUUCUUUUAGAUAAUACACGGGUAUGAAGUUACGGGGCUAGGGUAAGGUUUAAGGUUUUUGGGGUGAGGGUUAAAAUCACUGUCCAAGACAUUUUUAGGAACAAACCUUUUGGAGUUAAUUAGUCCAAAAAAAUGAACAAAGAAAAAAAAAAUGUUAGGGCUUCCUAUAGGUAAUACCCGGGUAUUGGGAUACAAGGCUAGGGUAAGGAUUAAGGUUUUGGGGGUUAAAAUCACUGUCCAAGACCUUUUUGUUACAUGUUUCAGACCUUUUGGAGUUAAUUAGAGCAUAAAAAACGAAAAUUAAAAAAAAAAUGUUUUGGGUGUUAGGGCUUCCUAUAGGUAAUACCCGGGUAUUGGGUUUAGCAGCUAGAGUAAGGUUUAAGGUUUUUGGGGUUAGGGUUAAAAUCACUGUCCAAGACCUUUUUAGGAACAUCUUUCAAACCUUUUGGAGUUAAUUAGACCAAAAAAAAAUGAAAAAUGAAAAAAAAAAUGUUUGUCAUGUUAGGGCUUCCUUAAGGCAAUACCCGGUUAUUGGGUUACGGGGGUAAGGAUUAAGGUUUUUGGGGUUAGGGUUAAAAUAACUGUCCCAGACCUUUUUGUUACAAGUUUCAGACCUUUUGGAGAUAGUUAGUCAAAAAAAAAAAAAAAACAUGAAAAAAAAAAUGUUUGGGGUUUUAGGGCUUCUUUUAGAUAAUACACAGGUAUGAAGUUAAGGGGCUAGGGUAAGGUUUAAGGUUUUUGGGGUGAGGGUUAAAAUCACUGUCCAAGACAUUUUUAGGAACAUGUUUCAAACCUUUUGGAGUUAAUUAGACCAAAAAAAAUGAAAAAAGAAAAAAAAAUGUUUGGGGUGGCGGGGUUUCCUAUAGGCACUACCUGGGUAUUGGGAUACAGGGCUAGGGUAAGGAUUAAGGUUUUUGGGGUUAGGGUUAAAAUUACUCUCCCAGACCUUUUUGUUACAUGUUUCAGACCUUUUGCAGUCAGUUAGUCCAAAAAAAAAAACAUGAAAAAAGAAAAGUUUGGGGAGUUAGGGCUUCCUAUUAAUAAUACCCGGGGUAUUGGGUUAUGGGGCUAGGGUCAGGUUUAAGGUUUUUGGGGUUAGGGUUAAAAUCACUGUCCAAGACCUUUUAAGGAACAUUUUUCAAACCUUUUGGAGUUAAUUAGACAAAAAAAAAACGAAAAAUGAAAAAAAAAUGUUUUGGGUGUUAGGGCUUCCUAUAGGUACUACCCGGGUAUUGGGUUUAGCAGCUAGAGUAAGGUUUAAGGUUUUUGGGGUUAGGGUUAAAAUCACUGUCCAAGACCUUUUUAGGAACAUUUUUCAAACCUUUUGGAGUUAAUUAGACCAAAAAAAAUGAAAAAUGAAAAAAAAAAAAAUGUUUGGGAUGUUAGGGCCUCCUAAAGGUAAUACCCGGGUAUUGGGUUACAGGGGUAAUGUUUAAGGUUUUUGGGGUUAGGGUUAAAAUCACUUUCCAAGACCUCUUUGUUACAUGUUUCAGAGCUUUUGGAGUUAGUUAGUCCAAAAAAACCGAAAAAUGAAUAAAAAAAAUGUUUGGGGUGUUAGGGUUUUCUUAAGGUAAUACCCAGGUAUUGGGUUACGGGUAAAGGGUAAGGUUUAAGGUUUUUGGGGUUCGGGUUAAAAUCACUGUCCAAGACCUUUUUAGGAACUCUUUUCCAACCUUUUGGAGUUAAUUAGACCAUAAAAAACGAAAAAUGAAAAAAAAAAUGUUUUGGGUGUUAUGGCUUCCUAUAGGUAAUACCCGGAUAUUGGGUUUAGCAGCUAGAGUAAGGUUUAAGGUUUUUAGGGUUAGGGUUAAAAUCACUGUCCAAGACCUUUUUAGGAACAUCUUUCAAACCUUUUGGAGUUAAUUAGACCAAAAAAAAAAAUGAAAAAUUUCAAAAACAUUUUUUGGGUUAUUUAGGGCUUUCUUUAGGUAAUACCUCGGUAUUGGGUUACGGGGCUAGGGUUAGGGUUAAGGUUUUAGGAUAAGGGUUAAUAUCACUCUCCAAGAACCUUUGAGGAGCAUGUUUCAAACCUUUUGGAGUUCGUUUGAAAAAAAAAAGAAGAAUUAAAAAAAAUUUAUUUUGGGUUCUUAGGGCUUCCUUUAGGUAAUAUCCAGGUAUUGGAUUCCGGGGUUAGGGUUAGGGUUAGGGUUUUCGGAAAAGGGUUAAUAUCACUGUCUCUAAGCAGCUGUGGACACACACCAUCUGGACCAGCUGCCUUCCAAAGUCUUCCAAGCUCCAACUUCACCCCUGUUUCUGUGACAGACAAGGACUGGUGCUCUAGGAGGGAAGUGGGUGUGACAGUAGUGUCAAAUCUGUCGAAGAACAGGUUGAGUUCAUCAGCUCUCUCCAGAUCACCCUCCACUGGCUGUUUUUUCUUUUUAUAUCUGUGUCCAGAGAUGGUACUGUUUCCUCUCCACACUUCACGGAUGUUGCUGUGUUGUAGAUUCCUCUCUAUCUUCUUUUUGUAUUCCAGCUUUGCCAUCUUCAGUCGCCUCUUCAACUCUUCUUGCACUUGUUGCACUUGUUUGACUUGUUCUUUGUCACCAUCUUUGAAAGCUUUCUUCUUCUAGUUAAGGAUUGCUUUUAUGUCACUUGUGAUCCAGGGUUUGUUGUUGGGGAAACAGCGAACAGUCUUUGUCGGUAUAACUGUGUUUCUACCAGAGUUGAUACAUCCAGUAAAGCAGUCAACUUGUCUGUCAAUGUUCAUAGUGUCCACAUCUGUUUCCAGCAGCACAUUUCAGUCUGUUGAUUUGAAACAGUCUCUUAGAGCUUCACUAGCUUGAGGUUUCCAUCUUCUGAUUUUGACUUUGGUCACAGGCUGCCUCAACACGCAAGGUCUGUAACAGGUUUGCAGAUAGAUCAAGUUAUGAUCUGACUUGCCCAGUGGUGGUAAGGCAGUGGCUCUGUAGGCUUCUUGACAUUGGCAUAUAGCAGAUCCAGGGUUUUGUUCUCUCUGGUAGGACAGUUCACAAACUUUGUGAAUCCUGUCAGGUGAGCGGAGAGGGUGACAUAGUUAAAGUCUCCUGAUAUCAUUAUUAGUGCCCCCGGGUGUUGAAUCUGUAGCCUGGCAACACUAUUAUGCACAAGAUUGCAUGGAAUUUCUUCAGUUGAUUUGGGUGGGAUGUAAAGAAGUAUUGUUAUGAUAUGACUGAAUUCUCUUGGAAUAUAAUAUGGCUGAAGAGCAACUGCCAACAGUUCAAUAUCUGGACAACACAACUUCUCCUUGACAGUUAUGUGUAUGUGCUUUUGUUGGGCAGAGAGGUGAUGUUUCCCAUGAUGACUGAUGGAAGAAAGGGUUUAUAUUGCCACCUCCUAGCAUUCAGCUUUGCCUUCACCUUUGCAUCAGCACAGCAACCAUGAUAACACCUCCUGAUGUCCUCUGGAAUUGUAUGUCGUUGUCUAGAUUUGCUUUUCUCAGUGAAAGGAGCUCUUCUCUUCAGUAAACUCUUCGCCUAGCAGAAGUAUCCAUCAGCAGCCAACAAAAAGACAACAAAAAUAUGAAAAAAAAAUCUAGCAAAAAUUACAAAAAAUACAGAGACCAGACUUGCAGCAACCUCUUGGUUCAAUGGCAUUAUUUAAGAUAGAUGAUAAGGUGGAAUCUGUGUUAAUAGAACGUACAGUCUUUACAGAUCACCAGGCUGUUACAAUAAAGAUCAAUGUGACAGACAUUAGAUAUCACUCUCAUAAAGAUCAAUAAAAAAUAAUUGCAAAAUUGGCUAUUUCAAAGUGAAGUCCAAAAGAUAAUAGAUAAAAUAUUAGAGGCAAGCAAAUUUAUUUAACAGUUUUUAAAAUUAUUGGGAGGUAAUGAAAUAUUACAAUAAAAUGUUAGCUAUUGCAUCUGGCGAAAAAAUGUUAAAGCAAAAAAAGGGGAGGAUCAGAUGAUUAGAAGAAUAGAUGGAGUAUCAGAGAAAAUAAGCUUGUCAAGAGAAGAACUGAAAGAUAUUUCAGGGUUACAACUUGAAUUGGACAAAAUACAUGAGGAAAAGGCCAGAGGGGCCUUUGUUCGGUCUCGAAGGAAGUGGCUAGAACAUGAGAAAAAGUACACCAAAUACUUUUUUAAGGUAGAAAAAAAAAGGAAUUUUUGAGCUGUCUUCUCUCUGUACACUUUAAAUUCAUAACCAAGUAUGUGAAGGUGAAGGAUAUACUUCCAAGUAUGCAGCUGAUUUCUACCAGAAAUGAUAUGCUGCUGACAUUAAAAACGAAGGCAACAUUGAUCUAUUUCUUCAAAAUAUUGAAAAGGAUGGAUGAACUCAACCUGUUCUUCAACAGAUUUGACACUGCUGUCACACCCACUUCCACUGCUACUCCACCUUCCUCUCUGCAACAAAUCUCCACUAUUACUUCUCCCGUUCUUCCUCCAUCUCGUUUAAGUGUCUCAACCACUUACUGCCUCCCUCCUAGAGCACCAGUCCUUGUCUGUCACCGAAACAGGGACUACAACCUGAGUCUACAGCUGGGGCGGGUACUUACUCUGUGGAAAACAUCCUGCAUUGUGCCAGUACCAAAAACAAAAUGUCCUGCUGAACUCAAUGACUACAGACCAGUGGCCCUCACUUCACACAUCAUAAAAACCCUGGAGCGGCUGAUUCUACGCCUUGUGAGGUCUAAACUUGAUUCCCUGCAGUUUGUAUACAAAGAACACAUUGGAGUGGAUGAUGCUGUCCUCUACAUGCUUCACCAUGUCCUGUCUCAUCUGGAGGAACCUGGGGUUUAUGUGAGGAUCAUGUUCUUCGACUUUUCAAGUGCAUUCAACACCAUCCAAUCCUCCAUACUCAGAGACAAGCUCACAGAGAUGUACAUCCUGCCUGAGUUUCCUGGAUGGCACAUUACCUGACAGGAAGGCCACAGUUUGUCAGGCUGGGGAACUGUGUUUCUGGGACCUUAAUGGGUAGUACAGGGGCUCCACAAGGGACAGUGCUGGCACUAUUCCUGUUCACACUGUAUACGUCAGGCUUCAAAUACAGCACUGAGUCCUGCCACAUCCUGAAAUACUCAGAUGACACCACUAUUGUUGCAUGUAUCAGAAAUGGUCAAGAAGCUGAAUACAGAGAUCUGAUAGGAGCCCUCAGUGAUUGGAGUCACAAAAACUGCCUCCUCCUCUUCAACACCUCAAAGACAAAGGAGAUGGCCAUAGACUUCCGUUGAUCCAAACCCUCUCUUCAGCCAGUGAACACCUGUGGAGUGGACAUCGAAGUGGUGACAUCAUAUAAAUACCUAGGUGUACAUCUUGAUAAUAAGUUGGAUUGGUCUAAGAAUAUAGACUUCAUCUACAGAGAGGGGCAGAGCCGCCUCUUUUGCCUGAGAAGACUAUGA